rnacentral:tRNA from 1 species
AACUUUUUAAUAUAACUAGUAUAUCUAUUUUCCAAAUAGAAAGUCCAUCAAGGAAGAGUUA